AUAGCGUAUAUUAAAGUUGUUGCAGUUAAAAAGCUCGUAGUUGAACCUUGGGCCUGGCUGGCCGGUCCGCCUCACCGCGUGCACUGGUCCGGCCGGGCCUUUCCUUCUGGGGAGCGGCAUGCCCUUCACUGGGUGUGUCGGGGAACCAGGACUUUUACCUUGAAAAAAUUAGAGUGUUCAAAGCAGGCCUAUGCUCGAAUACAUUAGCAUGGAAUAAUAAAAUAGGACGUGCGGUUCUAUUUUGUUGGUUUCUAGAGCCGCCGUAAUGAUUAAUAGGGAUAGUCGGGGGCAUCAGUAUUCAAUUGUCAGAGGUGAAAUUCUUGGAUUUAUUGAAGACUAACUACUG
rnacentral:rRNA from 1 species